AAACUUUCAACAACGGAUCUCUUGGUUCCGGCAUCGAUGAAGAACGCAGCGAAAUGCGAUACGUAAUGUGAAUUGCAAAUUCAGUGAAUCAUCGAGUCUUUGAACGCACAUUGCGCCCCCUGGUAUUCCGGAGGGCAUGCCUGUCCGAGCGUCAUUG
rnacentral:rRNA from 1 species